rnacentral:rRNA from 1 species
GGGCAGCGGGGAGGAAGCUUGCUUUCUCCGCCGGCGACCGGCGCACGGGUGAGUAACACGUAUGCAACCUGCCCCUGUCAGGGGGACAACCCGCCGAAAGGCGGGCUAAACCCGCGUACAUGCCACCGGGGCAUCCCGGAGGCAGGAAAGGCUUCGGCCGGACAGGGAUGGGCAUGCGGCGCAUUAGGCAGUAGGCGGGGUAACGGCCCACCUAACCGACGAUGCGUAGGGGUUCUGAGAGGAAGGUCCCCCACACUGGUACUGAGACACGGACCAGACUCCUACGGGAGGCAGCAGUGAGGAAUAUUGGUCAAUGGUCGGGAGACUGAACCAGCCAAGCCGCGUGAGGGAGGAAGGUACAGAGUAUCGUAAACCUCUUUUGUCAGGGAACAAAGACUGGGACGCGUCCCCGGAUGAGUGUACCUGAAGAAAAAGCAUCGGCUAACUCCGUGCCAGCAGCCGCGGUAAUACGGAGGAUGCGAGCGUUAUCCGGAUUUAUUGGGUUUAAAGGGUGCGCAGGCGGUCUGUUAAGUCAGCGGUCAAAGCCCGGGGCUCAACCCCGGCCCGCCGUUGAAACUGGCAGUCUCGAGUUGGAGAGAAGUAUGCGGAAUGCGCGGUGUAGCGGUGAAAUGCAUAGAUAUCGCGCAGAACUCCGAUUGCGAAGGCAGCAUGCCGGCUCCACACUGACGCUGAGGCACGAAAGCGUGGGUAUCGAACAGGAUUAGAUACCCUGGUAGUCCACGCAGUAAACGAUGAAUGCUGGCUGUCCGGGGGGACUGACCCCUGGGCGGCGAAGCGAAAGCGAUAAGCAUUCCACCUGGGGAGUACGCCGGCAACGGUGAAACUCAAAGGAAUUGACGGGGGCCCGCACAAGCGGAGGAACAUGUGGUUUAAUUCGAUGAUACGCGAGGAACCUUACCCGGGCUCAAACGGGGAGUGCCGCAGGCAGAGACGCCUGUUUCCCACGGGACACUCCCCGAGGUGCUGCAUGGUUGUCGUCAGCUCGUGCCGUGAGGUGUCGGCUUAAGUGCCAUAACGAGCGCAACCCCCGCGUGCAGUUGCUAACAGAUAACGCUGAGGACUCUGCACGGACUGCCGGCGCAAGCCGCGAGGAAGGCGGGGAUGACGUCAAAUCAGCACGGCCCUUACGUCCGGGGCGACACACGUGUUACAAUGGGUGGUACAGCGGGAAGCCAGGCGGCGACGCCGAGCGGAACCCGAAAUCCACUCUCAGUUCGGAUCGGAGUCUGCAACCCGACUCCGUGAAGCUGGAUUCGCUAGUAAUCGC